UACGUAGGGUGCGAGCGUUGUCCGGAAUUAUUGGGCGUAAAGAGCGUGUAGGCGGCCCGACCAGUCCGCUGUGAAAGUCCAGGGCUCAACCCUGGAAUGCCGGUGGAUACUGUCGGGCUAGAGUCCGGAAUGGGCGAGUGGAAUUCCUGGUGUAGCGGUGAAAUGCGCAGAUAUCAGGAGGAACACCAAUGGCGAAGGCAGCUCGCUGGGACGUGACUGACGCUGAGGCGCGAAGGCUAGGGGAGCGAACGGG
rnacentral:rRNA from 1 species